rnacentral:rRNA from 1 species
UGGGGAAUAUUGGACAAUGGGCGCAAGCCUGAUCCAGCCAUGCCGCGUGAGUGAUGAAGGCCCUAGGGUUGUAAAGCUCUUUCACCGGUGAAGAUAAUGACGGUAACCGGAGAAGAAGCCCCGGCUAACGUCGUGCCAGCAGCCGCGGUAAUACGAAGGGGGCUAGCGUUGUUCGGAUUUACUGGGCGUAAAGCGCACGUAGGCGGACUUUUAAGUCAGGGGUGAAAUCCCGGGGCUCAACCCCGGAACUGCCUUUGAUACUGGAAGUCUUGAGUAUGGUAGAGGUGAGUGGAAUUCCGAGUGUAGAGGUGAAAUUCGUAGAUAUUCGGAGGAACACCAGUGGCGAAGGCGGCUCACUGGCUCGAUACUGACGCUGAGGUGCGAAAGCGUGGGGAGCAAACAGG